AAACCAGCACCUCAAGUGGUCAGGAUGAUUAUUGGGCCUAAAGCAUCCGUAGCCGGCUCUGUAAGUUUUCGGUUAAAUCUGUACGCUUAACGUACAGGCUGCCGAGAAUACUGCAGAGCUAGGGAGUGGGAGAGGUAGACGGUACUCGGGAGGAAGUGGUAAAAUGCUUUGAUCUCUCGAUGACCACAUGUGGCGAAGGCGGUCUACCAGAACACGUCCGACGGUGAGGGAUGAAAGCUGGGGGAGCAAACCGGAUUAGAAACCCCGGUAGUCC
rnacentral:rRNA from 1 species